rnacentral:rRNA from 1 species
GAUGAACGCUAGCGGCAGGCUUAACACAUGCAAGUCGAGGGGUAACAUGGGUAGCAAUACCUGAUGACGACCGGCAAACGGGUGCGGAACACGUACAGAACCUACCUUGAUCUGGGGCAUAGCCCGAAGAAAUUCGGAUUAACUCCCCAUAAUAUAAUUGGAUGGCAUCAUUUGAUUAUUAAAAAUUUAUUGGAUCGAGAUGGCUGUGCGUCCCAUUAGCUAGUUGGAGGGUAACGGCCUACCAAGGCGACGAUGGGUAGCUGGUGUGAGAGCACGACCAGCCACACGGGCACUGAGACACGGGCCCGACUCCUACGGGAGGCAGCAGUGAGGAAUAUUGCACAAUGGGCGAAAGCCUGAUGCAGCAACGCCGCGUGCGGGAUGACGGCC